UCGCGUGAUGAUGAUAUCGUCCAGUUCUGCUACUGAAGGGACGGCGAUGACACCCUUUGGAUCUGAGGGA